AUUGAACGCUAGCGGGAUGCCUUACACAUGCAAGUCGAACGAGUGGCGAACGGGUGAGUAAUGUCUGGGAAACUGCCCGAUGGAGGGGGAUAACUACUGGAAACGGUAGCUAAUACCGCAUACCAUCGGAUGUGCCCAGAUGUGAUUAGCUAGUAGGUGGGGUAACGGCUCACCUAGGAGACGAUCCCUAGCUGGUCUGAGAGGAUGACCAGCCACACUGGAACGGAGACAGGGUCCAGAGUCCUACGGGAGGCAGCAGUGGGGAAUUUUGGACAAUGGGGGAAACCCUGAUCCAGCCAUCCCGCGUGUGCGAUGAAGGCCUUCGGGUUGUAAAGCACUUUUGGCAGGAAAGCGGUACCUGCAGAAUAAGCACCGGCUAACUACGGGCCAGCAGCCGCGGUAAUAC
rnacentral:rRNA from 1 species